rnacentral:tRNA from 1 species
UCUCUGAUGGUCCAGUGGCUGAGACUCUGCACUUCCAGUUCAGGGGGCCCGGGUUCAAUCCCUGGUCAGGGAA